rnacentral:rRNA from 1 species
UACGUAGGGUCCAAGCGUUAUCCGGAAUCACUGGGCGUAAAGCGUUCGUAGGUGGUCUGUUAAGUGAGAUGUGAAAGCGUGUGGCUCAACCAUAUCGUUGUGUUUCAUACUGGCAGACUAGAGGGAAGCAGAGGCAAGUGGAAUUGGCAGUGUAGCAGUGAAAUGCGUAGAGAUUGCCAGGAACACCAAUGGCGAAGGCAGCUUGCUGGGCUUUUUCUGACACUGAGGGACGAAAGCGUGGGGAGCGAACA